UUCUAAUGAUUCCUGAUGUUUAUUAAAUGUGAGUUCAUCAUUCUUCUGUGCCAAGCCCCUCUGUUUGGAUUAUCACAUCAAGCCAGCGCGUGACAGCUCUGUUUAGUUCUGGUCUGUUUGGUCAGCUGGACAAGUGAGUUGUGAUUGGAAAUGUCACACCCCUUACUAUAAUCAUCAAUUUACUGAAGAAAGGCCAAUUCACUGAAAAGAAGGAAAAAUGUUUCUCGGGUCAGUAACGCUUUUGGUUCUCACUGAAAUAACUUUUGAAAAAUCACACUCACCUCUGUGGCAUUCAGGAAACUUGCACAUUGUUGGACCAAUGACAGGCAGAGGCACUGUUUGGCAAACCUGUUUGAAAACAGUUGCCAUUUCUGAAACUGCUGUGUCGGAUUGGGAAUUUUGGAUAUGUUGUACUGAUGUUAUGGGUAAUCUGUGUUUGUUUCUGUUUUGGGUGGGUUUGAUGUGUUAGUUCAGUUUCCUGUAUGUCUGUGUUUGUUACCAUGGUUUUUCAUUGAUUGAUUUAGUUAUACACAUGUGACUUUUGUUUAUUGGUUAGUUUGUUCUAUUUAAGCCCUGUGUUUUGUUCAGUUCAUCAUCUGUUUUCGUCUCAUAUUGCUGGUCUGUUUUUAUCUGGAGUUUCUCUGUUAUUUUGAGUUUGUAAAUAAACUGUGACUGCUGCAAUUA